rnacentral:rRNA from 1 species
AAAAGACUUAGUCCUAACCUUACCGUUAAUUCUCGCUCAACAUAUACAUGCAAGUAUCCGCACCCCAGUGCAAACGCCCUAAAGCCCCUUACCAAGGCACUAGGAGCAGGCAUCAGGCACACCCCUGUAGCCCAAGACGCCACGCCCCGCCACACCCCCACGGGUACUCAGCAGUAAUUAACAUUAAGCAAUGGGCGUAAGCCUGACUUAGCUAGAGCGAUCAGGGUUGGUAAAUCUUGUGCCAGCCACCGCGGUCAUACAAGAAACCCAAAUUAACUGUACACGGCGUAAAGAGUGGCCUCAGACUAUUAAAGCAGAUUAAGACCAAACUUCAACCUAAGCCGUCACAAGCCCAAGGUCCCCGAAGCCCAACCUAAAAACGAUCUUAACACCAACGACCCAUCCUACCCCACGAAAGCCAGGGCACAAACUGGGAUUAGAUACCCCACUAUGCCUGGCCCUAAAUCUUGAUGUUCCCCAAACACAAACAUCCGCCCGAGAACUACGAGCAC